AGCUGUUCAGCAUCGGUUACCGUAGUGAUUUACCCUGAGAAGAAGUGAACCACCGUCUGCAUGUUCAGCUGCUGCAGCCUGCAGGGAAACACCAGCUGUCACCUCGCAGACCAAACAGGUGUUACCACUUCGUCCAUGAUUGCAGAAUCCUCACACAACAAAGUAGUUCUUUGAGCUUGUGAAAAAGAGACAGACUCAAGGACUCAACCAGAAUUUCAACCAGCAAAUCACAGAGAGAAGACACAGACAAGAAGAUUGACAGAAGGUCCAGAACUUCAGCUGCUGACAUGUCCCCCUCCUCCUGCAGAGACACAACAAUGUGUUAGUUAUUAUUGUACUACUACUAAAUGACUAUGUCUCGGUAGGUUCUCAGUCAUCCAGCUCAUGGCACUCUUAAGUGCCAGCUUUAAAGGGAACUGGAUUUCUUUUAGGUUUCUUGAAGAUGUUUCACCUUGUCCAAAAGCCCUCUUCAACUGAAGAGGUUGUUUACCUAAGAUGCAAAACAUCUUCAAGGAUCCCAAAAGAGGUCCAGUUGCAUUUGACUGAAGCACCUGGGUGACUGAGAACAUUCACAGAUGUACUAACUUAUUAGUAUUAAUUUCAAAUCAACUACUGACUACAACUAAUUGCUACUGCCAUUCACUUAUUAAAACAAAAAUCAAUUUUCCUAUCUUUAGUGGAUCUUGUGAAAUAUAAACAACAAUCUGCAUGUUUGCUACGUGAACUUUCUAAAUAAAAUUAAAUGAUGAG